CCCUCUAGAGAGCUGAGGGGAAAGGCAGCCCCAGCUCAGCCAAGGUCUCUGUGCGAAGGAUCUGCCCUGCCCCAAAUCUAGUGUCCUGCCUGGUUUUCUUCUUCACCAAAACAGGUAUCAGGGAUUAAUUUCCCUGUCUGUCACAGGCGGGUUUUGUCCCUGGAGAGGAACCUUAGAAACUAACCACACAUCCCCUUUCUGUUCCCAGCACAGAGUCCCAGCAGCCAGGAGAUCUGCUCAGCUCCCGCUGAGUCCGUUUGUCUGUCUGUCUGUCCCAGACACAUUCAACGUACUCACUCACUCAAUCACACCAGAGGGGUUUGCAUUGAUAGAAAAGGUGUCCUGCUGCAGAAGCCCCAGUGUUCUACCUGAACCAAACGUCAGCCCAGCCAGGGGGCUCUGUGCUGCUCAAAUGCUCCGUGUUCUCCCAACUCCCGGCCACCCGCAUCGUCCUCUGCUGUGAUGGGGAGGAGGUUUCAUCGCAGAGGAGCGUAAAGGGGAAGAUCACCUACAACUAUGUCCGUGCCGUGUCCGGGGGCAGUGCUGGGAAUUACUCCUGCGGGUAUGAGAUCAAGGAGAGCAGCAACCGGGUGAACAGAUCCCAGCUCAGCCCUGCCCAGCACCUCAGUGUGGCGGAAGGACAUCACCCCCUCCCUUUCCGCAUUGCUGAGCUGACCACGUCCCCCAUCAUCUGGGCCACUCGCUGCAUCUUGGUUCUUUGCUGCUCCUGAUGUCUGCGCCCGUCAUCACCUUCAUGCUGGAGAAAUGGGGCCUGCCUGAGCCGCCGGGGCUGGAGAAGACUCGUGGGGAGAGCAUCAGGAUUGUGAGAGGGAGGAAAUGGGGGAUCUGCACUGACCAGCUGUGAGAUGGGGAGAUACCAGUGCCCAGUUCAGAGCCAUUUUGGGGACAGACAGUGCUGCACAACAGGCCCUGGCAGUGACAAUAUUUGUCCAGAUAACUCCUCCAGCCUCCUUCAAUCCCUCUUUCCUGUCAGGAACACUGUCUGUUACUGCCCUGCAGCCUGCAGCCUGCAGCCCUCGGCUCCCUGCCAGCCAGGCCAGGACCAUACCAAGCUCGGCUGGAAGUUGAAAUAAGCUCGGUUGAAAGUUGAAAUAACCAUUUCAAUGUUAUUUCGAAAUAAUGGAAUUGCUGUGUAGAUUCUCACAUGGUUAUUUCGGAAUAACGCUACUGUGUAAACGCAUCCUCGGUUAUUUUUUGCUGUUUAUUCAAAUAAACCUGUUUACAUUUUUUUCUUCUUUUAUGAUUAUAUGCAAUGAAAAAAUACAUGUACAUUAUAAAAUGGACUUGUUAUUUGGUAAACAAUGGGGGUAUGUGUACACUACCCCCCUAGUUCGAACUAGGGGGGUAGUGUAGACAUACCCUAAGUUAUUUCAUAAUAUUUUAUAAAAUAAACUAAAAAAUGAAAUUCCUUCUGUGAUGGGUUCAGUCGCUAAGAAACACUAAGAAACUAAUACCCUGGUUAUGAAUAAUUAGUUCUCACCCUAGUUAUUGUUCUAAUAAUCUUUGUACAGACUGGAUGCUUUUCCUUCCAUUCAGUCUUAGAUGUUUCCAAUAGUCCUCUUAUUGACCACAAUAGUAAUAGUGACAGAGAACUGCUCAGGGAGAUCAGAGAGACAUUUAAAAAAAAAACUCCUCAGUUAUAAUGGGGGAUUUCUGCUAUCCACACACUAACUGGGUAGAUGUGACUCAGGACAGGAUGCAGGGAAGAGGUUCCUUGACAUCAUUAUUGACUAGUUCUUGGAGCAGCUACACCUAUAGGGCUACGUCUACACUGGCACCCUUUUCCGGAAAUGCUUAAAACGGAAGAGUUUUCCGUUAUAAGUAUUUCCGGAAAAAGUAUGUCUACA